rfam:Eucalyptus grandis cultivar BRASTZ1 unplaced genomic scaffold scaffold_4, whole genome shotgun sequence.
CCAUGAACAUGAUGAGAGUAAUAUCGCGAGUGAUGAUAAAAUCUUAUCAGGUGAUGAGAAAAAUAUUACUUCGCUACGUUCUUUCUGAUUCUUGG